rnacentral:rRNA from 1 species
GACGAACCGUCCGAACGUUAUUCGGUGUCACUGGGCUUAAAGGGUGCGUAGGCGGCCCUGUAAGUUGGGUGUGAAAGCCCUCGGCUUAACCGAGGAAUUGCGCCCAAAACUGCAGGGCUUGAGGGAGACAGAGGUGAGUGGAACUUGCGGUGGAGCGGUGAAAUGCGUUGAUAUCGCAAGGAACACCUGUGGCGAAAGCGGCUCACUGGGUCUCUUCUGACGCUGAGGCACGAAAGCUAGGGGAGCGAACGGG